CAAUAGCGUAUACUAAAGUUGUUGCAGUUAAAAAGCUCGUAGUCGGAAUUCGGAUUGUGCGUGCUGGUCCGCCGCAAGGCGAGUACUGGCGUAGCGCGAUCCUCCUUCUGGAAAUGGAGUGUGCCCUUUACUGGGUGUGCUUCCAGGUCCGGAUCGUUUACUUUGAGUAAAUUAGAGUGUUCCAAGCAGGCGUUUGCCGGCAUAGUUUAGCAUGGAAUAAUGGAAUAGGACUUUGGUCUUAUUUCGUUGGUUUUGAAGACCGAAGUAAUGAUUAAUAGGGACAGUUGGGGGCAUUCGUAUUUCAUUGUCAGAGGUGAAAUUCUUGGAUUUAUGAAAGACGAACUUAUGCGAAAGCACUUUGUCAAGGAUGUUUUCAUUGA
rnacentral:rRNA from 1 species